AACGGGUGAGUAACGCGUGAGGACUUACCCAUUUCCGGGGGAUAACAGUUGGAAACAGCUGCUAAUACCGCAUAAGCCUAAGGGUAAAAGAAGUAAUUCGGGAAUGGAGAGACUCGCGUCCUAUCAGCUAGUAGGUGAGAUAAGAGCUCACCUAGGCGAAGACGGGUAACCGGACUGAGAGGUCGAACGGUCACACUGGAACUGAGACACGGUCCAGACUCCUACGGGAGGCAGCAGUGGGGAAUUUUGGGCAAUGGGGGGAACCCUGACCCAGCGACGCCGCGUGAGUGAAGAAAUUCCUCGGAAUGUAAAGCUCUGUUGUAUGGGAAGAUAAUGACGGUACCAUACGAGGAAGCCCCGGCAAACUACGUGCCAGCAGCCGCGGUAAUACGUAGGGGGCAAGCGUUGUCCGGAAUUACUGGGCGUAAAGCGCACGCAGGCGGAAUUGUAAGUCCGUUGUAAAAUUCAGAGGCUCAACCUCUGUCUGUCGGCGGAUACUGCAAAUCUAGAGUAUGUGAGAGGGAAGUGGAAUUCCUGGUGUAGCGGUGAAAUGCGUAGAUAUCAGGAGGAACUCCGGUGGCGAAGGCGACUUCCUGGCACAAGACUGACGCUCAUGUGCGAAAGCUAGGGUAGCGAACGGGAUUAGAUACCCCGGUAGUCCUAGCCGUAAAUGAUGGAUACUAGGUGUGGGUGUCGCAGGGCAUCCGUGCCGCAGUUAACGCGUUAAGUAUCCCGCCUGGGGACUACGGUUCGCAAGACUGAAACUCAAAGGAAUUGACGGGGGCCCGCACAA
rnacentral:rRNA from 1 species